UGCAAACAUUUGGAACACCAUUUUUGACUUAGAAAAUGCAUUUGUUUUUUUAUUUGCAGGAAUCGUUAGAUUAAAAUGUUUGAAUUAGGAACCGGUAGCCAAUAAUCCCCAAAAGGUCAUUUCUGCAUGCUAUAAAGUGGUGGAAAAAAGAAAGAUGUUGAAAAAAGGAUAUAUAGGCUCAUAGACAUUCCUUGUUGUGGAGGAUUUUGACAUUGGAAGUUGAUAACAACACAUAAAAUGCCACCCAGUUGAUAGCUUUAAGUGAAGAUGCACUGAAAAGUGGAGCGUACAUUGUAUGUGAUCGUACAAGAACUGUUGGAAUUUGCAAACUUUUAAACUUUCAUUGUGACAAAUACCUAUAUCAUAAACUAUCUAAUUAUCACAUUGACAUGCUUUUUUGGUUAGAAUACAAAUGAUGUUGCAACUAUCUAGUCAUGUAGGGAAAAAUCAUUAUUUGUGAUAUAUAUUUAAGUCAGUUUAAAAACAUUAUGUAUGUGAUUUCACUGACUGUUACUUGUGAUAUCAUAAGGUAUCUGGUGUACUUUUCUUACAUAUAAUAUGCUCAUUUGAUUACAUAAAGAAUUACUUGUUAAAA